rnacentral:rRNA from 1 species
GCGGCGUGGUUUAGGCAUGCAAGUCGAACGCGAGAGCACCUUCGGGGUGCAAGUAGAGUGGCGAACGGGUGAGUAACAGGUGGGUAAUGUGCCUUGAAGCGGGGGAUAACCCUUGGAAACAGGAGCUAAUACCCCAUGUGACUCGGUAGCCUUCGGGCGAUCGAGUCGAAGGCGCGCUUCGCGCGUGCCGCUUUGAGAUCAGCCCGCCUCCGAUUAGCUAGUUGGUGAGGUAACGGCUCACCAAGGCGACGAUCGGUAGCUGGUCUAAGAGGAUGGUCAGCCACACUGGGAUUGAGAAACGGCCCAGACUCCUACGGGAGGCAGCAGUCUAGAAGCUUCUACAAUGGGCGAAAGCCUGAUAGAGCGACGCCGCGUGCGGGAUUGAAGGCCGUGAGGUUGUAAACCGCUGUCAGCAGGGAAGAAGGCCUGGAUGGUGAAUUCAGGUUUGACGGUACCUGCAGAGGAAGCCCUGGCUAACUCCGUGCCAGCAGCCGCGGUAAUACGGAGAGGGCAAACGUUGUUCGGAAUUACUGGGCGUAAAGGGUGCGUAGGCGGUUCGGCAAGUCUGAUGUGAAAGGUUCUCGCUUAACGAGGAAACUGCAUUGGAAACUGUUGAGCUUGAGGACGGAAGAGGCAGGUGGAAUUCCUGGUGUAGCGGUGGAAUGCGUAGAUAUCAGGAAGAACACUCGUGGCGAAGGCGGCCUGCUGGUCCGUUCCUGACGCUGAUGCACGAAAGCCAGGGGAGCGAACGGGAUUAGAUACCCCGGUAGUCCUGGCCGUAAACUGUGAACACUGGGUGUCGGGGGUAUCGACCCCCUCGGUGCCGGAGCCAACGCGUUAAGUGUUCCGCCUGGGGAGUACGACCGCAAGGUUGAAACUCAAAGGAAUUGACGGGGGCCCGCACAAGCGGUGGAGGAUGUGGUUUAAUUCGACGCAACGCGAAGAACCUUACCAGGGCUUAAACCGCAGGGUAAACCCUCCGAAAGGGGGGCUGCUUCGGCAACCCUGUAGAGGUGCUGCAUGGCUGUCGUCAGCUCGUGUCGUGAGAUGUUGGGUUAAGUCCCGCAACGAGCGCAACCCUUACUCUUAGUUACCAGCGCGUCAUGGCGGGGACUCUAAGAAGACUGCCGUCGCAAGGCGGAGGAAGGUGGGGAUGACGUCAAGUCAUCAUGGCCCUUAUGUCCUGGGCUACACACGUCCUACAAUGGCCGGUACAGCGAGCAGCGAAGCCGCGAGGUCAAGCAAAUCUCAAAAAGCCGGCCCUAGUUCAGAUUGUAGUCUGCAACUCGACUGCAUGAAGGUGGAAUCGCUAGUAAUCGCGGAUCAGCACGCCGCGGUGAAUACGUUCCCGGGCCUUGUACACACCGCCCGUCACACCACGAAAGUCAGCUGUACCAGAAGUCGCUGAGCUAACCCUUUUGGGAAGCAGGCGCCUAAGGUAUGGUUGGCAAUUGGGGUGAAGUC